rnacentral:rRNA from 1 species
AUUGAACGCUGGCGGCAUGCUUUACACAUGCAAGUCGAACGGUAACAGGGAGCUUGCUCCGCUGACGAGUAGCGAACGGGUGAGUAAUAUAUCGGAACGUGCCCAAGAGUGGGGGAUAACGUAGCGAAAGUUACGCUAAUACCGCAUACGAUCUACGGAUGAAAGCAGGGGACCGCAAGGCCUUGUGCUCCUGGAGCGGCCGAUAUCUGAUUAGCUAGUUGGUGAGGUAAAGGCUCACCAAGGCGACGAUCAGUAGCUGGUCUGAGAGGACGACCAGCCACACUGGAACUGAGACACGGUCCAGACUCC